rnacentral:rRNA from 1 species
CCUACGGGAGGCAGCAGUAGGGAAUAUUGCACAAUGGGGGAAACCCUGAUGCAGCGACGCCGCGUGAAUGAAGAAGUAUUUCGGUAUGUAAAGUUCUGUCAGCAGGGAAGAAAAUGACGGUACCUAACUAAGAGGCCACUGCUAACUACGUGCCAGCAGCCGCGGGAAGACGUAGGGGGCAAGCGUUCGCCGGAUUUACUGGGGGGAAAGGGAGCGGAGGCGGUUGUGCAAGUCAGAAGUGAAAGCCGGGGGCUUAACGCCGGGACUGCUUUUGAAACUGGGGAACUAGAGUGCAGGAGAGGUAAGCGGAAUUCCGAGUGUAGCGGUGAAAUGCGUAGAUAUUAGGAGGAACACCAGUGGCGAAGGCGGCUUACUGGACUGUAACUGACGCUGAGGCUCGAAAGCGUGGGGAGCAAACAGGAUUAGAUACCCGAGUAGUC